GAUGAACGCUGGCGGCGUGCCUAAUACAUGCAAGUCGAGCGAACAGACGAGGAGCUUGCUCCUCUGACGUUAGCGGCGGACGGGUGAGUAACACGUGGAUAACCUACCUAUAAGACUGGGAUAACUUCGGGAAACCGGAGCUAAUACCGGAUAAUAUAUUGAACCGCAUGGUUCAAUAGUGAAAGACGGUUUUGCUGUCACUUAUAGAUGGAUCCGCGCCGCAUUAGCUAGUUGGUAAGGUAACGGCUUACCAAGGCAACGAUGCGUAGCCGACCUGAGAGGGGGGAUCGGCAACACUGAAACGGAGACCCGGUCCAGCCUCCUAGGGGAGGCAGAGGAAGGAAACCUUCCGCAUUGGGCGAAGGCCUGCGGGAGAACCGCGGGGUGGGUGAUGAAGGUCUUCGGAUCGAAAACCCCUGUUAUAAGGAAAGAAAAAAUGUGAAAGUACUUAGGAACGUCUUGACGGUACCUAUCAGAAAGCCACGGCUAACUACGUG
rnacentral:rRNA from 1 species